rnacentral:tRNA from 1 species
GGGCGGCUGGCCUAAUGGUAAGGCGUCUGAUUUCGGUUGAGUUAUUCCUCAAAAUAAGUUCUCAGAAGACUGCAGGUUCGAUCCCUGCGUCGCUCA